AGUCGACGGGGUCCUUCGGGACUUAGUGGCGGACGGGUGAGUAACGCGUGAGGAUCUGGCUUCAGGACGGGGAUAACAUUGGGAAACUGAUGCUAAUACCCGAUAUGGCGAGAGCUGAAAGAUUAAUUGCCUGAAGAUGAACUCGCGUCCGAUUAGCUAGUUGGAGUGGUAAAGGCACCCCAAGGCGAUGAUCGGUAGCUGGUCUGAGAGGAUGAUCAGCCACACUGGGACUGAGACACGGCCCAGACUCCUACGGGAGGCAGCAGUGGGGAAUUUUCCGCAAUGGGCGAAAGCCUGACGGAGCAAUACCGCGUGCGGGAGGACGGCCUUUGGGUUGUAAACCGCUUUUCUCAGGGAAGAAGAUCUGACGGUACCUGAGGAAUCAGCAUCGGCUAACUCCGUGCCAGCAGCCGCGGUAAUACGGAGGAUGCAAGCGUUAUCCGGAAUUAUUGGGCGUAAAGCGUCCGCAGGUGGUUGGUCAAGUCUGCUGUCAAAGCGUGGAGCUUAACUCCAUAAGGGCGGUGGAAACUGAUUAACUAGAGGAUGGUAGGGGUCACGGGAAUUCCCAGUGUAGCGGUGAAAUGCGUAGAUAUUGGGAAGAACACCAGCGGCGAAAGCGCGUGACUGGGCCAUUACUGACACUCAUGGACGAAAGCUAGGGGAGCGAAAGGGAUUAGAUACCCCUGUAGUCCUAGCUGUAAACGAUGGACACUAGUGUUGCCCGUAUCGACCCGGGCAGUGCCGUAGCCAACGCGUUAAGUGUCCCGCCUGGGGAGUACGCACGCAAGUGUGAAACUCAAAGGAAUUGACGGGGGCCCGCACAAGCGGUGGAGUAUGUGGUUUAAUU
rnacentral:rRNA from 1 species